rnacentral:misc_RNA from 1 species
GAUGAAGAACGCAGCGAAAUGCGAUAAGUAAUGUGAAUUGCAGAAUUCAGUGAAUCAUCGAAUCUUUGAACGCACCUUGCGCCCUUUGGCCAUUCCGAAGGGCAUGCCUGUUUGAGUAUCAUGAACACCUCAACUCUUCAUGGUUUUCCGUGAUGAGCUUGGACUUUGGGGGUCUUGCUGGCCUAUGGUCAGCUCCUCUAAAAUAAAUCAGCUUGCCAGUGUUUGGUGGGUAUCACAGGUGUGAUAACUAUCUACGCUUGUGGUUUUCCACCAGGUAACCUUCAGCAGUGGAGGUUCGCUGGAGCUCACAGAUGUGUCUCUCCUCAGUGAGGACAGCUCUUUGAAUGUUUGAUCUCAAAUCAGGUAGGACUACCCGCUGAACUUAAGCAUAUCAAAAGCGGAGGA